rnacentral:rRNA from 1 species
UACGAAGGGGGCUAGCGUUGCUCGGAAUCACUGGGCGUAAAGCGCACGUAGGCGGCUUUUUAAGUCAGGGGUGAAAUCCUGGAGCUCAACUCCAGAACUGCCUUUGAUACUGAAAAGCUUGAGUCCGGGAGAGGUGAGUGGAACUGCGAGUGUAGAGGUGAAAUUCGUAGAUAUUCGCAAGAACACCAGUGGCGAAGGCGGCUCACUGGCCCGGUACUGACGCUGAGGUGCGAAAGCGUGGGGAGCAAACAGG